rnacentral:rRNA from 1 species
UAAACUCUGCCCAGUGAAUAUUCAACGGCCGCGGUAUCCUGACCGUGCAAAGGUAGCAUAAUCAUUUGCCCCUUAAUUAGGGGCUAGUAUGAACGAUUAGACGAGAUUCUAACUGUCUCAGGUAUAAAAAUAUAAACUAGCCUUUAGGUGAAGAGACCUAAAUUAAUUUAAAAGACAAGAAGACCCUGUCGAGCUUUAAUAUAUUAAAGAAUAAAAAUAAAUACUCUUUACUAAAUAUUUUUGUUGGGGCGACAAAGGAAUAUAUAAAUCUUCCUAAAAUAAAAGACUCCAAGUCAAUCCUCUGACCCAUAACAUAUGAUCAAAGAAUAAAGCUACCGCAGGGAUAACAGACUUAUUCUCCUUAAGAGCUCAAAUUUACAGGAGAGAUUGGCACCUCGAUGUUGGCUUAGGAAUUCUCUCGGGCGCAAAAGCCUGACAAGAGGGGUUUGUUCAACCCUUAAUUU